rnacentral:pre_miRNA from 1 species
AUCGUUGACCCGGCCAAAUCGACUCACCAUUAACACUUCUUAACAGCUCUCCUAACAGCGUAACUAACAACUGUUUUUGUCCUUAAACCAACAAUAACGGCUGUUAGGCCAUGUUUUGUAACGGCUGUUAGGAGCGCUGUUAAGGAGUGUUAACGGUGAGUCUAUUUGGCCGGGUCAACGAC